rnacentral:rRNA from 1 species
AGCAAUGUCUGGGAAACUGCCUGAUGGAGGGGGAUAACUGCUGGAAACGGUAGCUAAUACCGCAUAACGUCGCAAGACCAAAGAGGGGGACCUUCGGGCCUCUUGCCAUCGGAUGUGCCCAGAUGGGAUUAGCUAGUAGGUGGGGUAACGGCUCACCUAGGCGACGAUCCCUAGCUGGUCUGAGAGGAUGACCAGCCACACUGGAACUGAGACACGGUCCAG